AAGUCGUAACAAGGUUUCCGUAGGUGAACCUGCGGAAGGAUCAUUAUCGGGAGUGCCCUCGUGGCUUAACCUGCAACCCUAUGUUUUUAAAACCCUUGUUUCUUUGGCGGGUUCGCCCGUCAGAAGAAUUCUCAAACUCGUUGUAAACGUGUCAUCUGAAUAACCAUAAAAAUAAAUUAAAACUUUCAACAACGGAUCUCUUGGUUCUG
rnacentral:misc_RNA from 1 species